rfam:Nicotiana attenuata strain TT chromosome 3, whole genome shotgun sequence.
UGGACAGAUUAUUGUAUUCGACUGUAUUCACGGCGUGAAAUAGGGGAUUACACUAUUUUUAAAACGGAAAGUGAAUCAAUUAACAUAAUAGACUCAU